AGCAAGCAGGCAGGCAAACAAACAAACAAAAAAACAGGGAAACAUUCAAACAUUUUGUGUCAAUCUGUCAGUCAUUCAGUCACUCAAAGAACCCCUCCUCGAAGCCCCUUUGCCCAUUCCCGUUGCCCGCUGAUAAACAGGAAUCGAUAAAGAGGGGAUGUAGAUGUACACACCUACCACCCACACCCCUGCCACACCCCUUGCCACGAUGAGUCCUGCUUAUCAACGGUCACAUAGGAAAUACAAUACAAAAAGGGAUACAAUGCGAAGGAGGCGGAUGUGUCCUGGCUCAACAAAGGAUAGCAAUGGGACACGUGUGUGAGAGCAUUUAACGCGAUAAACGUAAAUCAAUAAACGCACAGAACGGAAAUUAUCAACACCUGUAAAAGAUAAUUGACGCGAAAUUAAAUUAUAUGUUGCCACAGCAUGUGGCAAUAAUGAUGAUUCCAUUAAAACACAAGCACUGUGCCCUGUCUUAAACAGUGCGUUACGCAGGUGAAUGGCUAUAGAACAUCUACAUACACACGCGUAUACAAAUGGGAAUUCUUAUGAAACUCUUUGGAGCCACAAAGGAUUGGUUAAUGUAUUGGAAAGGGUUCACUUUUGAAGAGUUAUUCUGAGAAAAACCUGAAAGUGGACCAUUACUUUUAGCAUUUUAAGCAUAUAUAUCCUAUCAUAUUGAAAUCUGUUAUUUAUCUGCGUGGCAACAUUCGGAUAAAGAUCUGUCGAUCCCUCGAUCUCCCAUCCUUUCCAGAAGAAAUUCCUAGGCAUCUUUGUUUCUGCUUCUUAUUUAUGCAAAAAUGGUUACAAGGACAACCCGAUUAUAAGAAUCUAUAAAUGAAUGUGUGGGUUGGGUUUCUUAUGGGUUGGGUUCUGUUAACAUUUGACCUUACUUAGCUCACUUAGCGCGCAGAGCGGCGGUGGAGCAGUGGCAGGAUGAGCAGACAAAGCGUUGACAAUGGCACAAACAAAAGAAACAGAAAACAGACGAGCAGAUAAUGGACGUAGCGUUUGUGGGGCGGAACGGAGACGAGAGGAGACCACUGGCAAAACGUAUUUACAUAGCUUAUACCUACUAUGUAUGGUCGGGAUAAGCUCCAUUGUUUUACGAGUAUGCAUGCAAAUAGAAACAAUGCCGGGACGAAGGAACGAGACAUUCAGAGAUGCUUCGCCUUCAGAUUGCAGAGGUUUCCAGAGGUAUGCAGGUACCUGCACCGGGUUUCGUGGUAAAGGAUGCGCUGUCAGUUAUUGGGCAUUCGUUGGACAUUCGCAGAUUACCACUAACUAGAUGAAUGUGAAGGCUACACAUACAUAUAUGUACGGAAUCAAUUAGGGAACGGGUUAAAUCGGUCUUUAGGAGUCGAAUCCUAUAGAUUCCUAAAAUUAAGUCAUCCAAUACUCUAGUCCAAUAACAUUUAUAUUCAAUUAAUAAUCAUUAAGAUCAUUUGAACACGUUGGAUAAAGAUA